rnacentral:lncRNA from 1 species
UAAAACUGAGGGGGAGCUAAUAUUAAAGGGGAGAUUUUUACAUUAAUCUUUUUGCUUAUGAUCAAAAAAGGGGGAGAAGAAAACUAUAAGGGGAGAAGUAUAAUACAAAUUAAUAAUUGAUACAGGUACUGCUAACUUUGUUGUUGUCUGUUAGCUUGUAUGUGUUGCAGGUAAGCCAGAGUUGCUUUUAAAAUUGAAUUUUUGAUCAUCAUCAAAAAGGGGGAGAUUGUUACCAAUAAGGAGUAUUGGUAAAUCUUGAAGAAUUGUUUUGAUGAUGCUGCAAGAAUUUUAUUUGAAGAAAACAUUAGAAAUAUUUAAAAGCAACUUGUAGAAAUUGAAUGUAGUAGGAAAAUCUUAAAUAAAUUGUAAACCUUGUAUUUUCCACUGGAAUAAUCAAUUAUGGAUAGGCAAUAAUCGAUUAUCACUUGAAUUUUCUACUAGAAU